UUUCAUCAUGGGGAAGAUCCAGUCCAAAGCAGCACGACAAACACAAGUUUUGAAUAUUAUGUGACAAGCGAAGUAGAAAAUGAUACUUAAUUUUGAAGGCUUUGUGUUGGGCAGAUGUAGAAUAUUUUGUGUUGAAAGUAGUAACUUUUCACUAUGUUGAAUAUUUAAGACUCCUUGAUUACUUAAAGAACAUUUUGUUGUUGAUGACAGUGUUGAAUAUUUUAAACUAAUUUGUGGAUUGUUAAUACAAUGUUGAAUGUUUUUACUUUUUGUUAUUUGAAAA